UGCUGCCGCGCAGUUCCUCUGUCCGCGAGGCGCCACCAUCUCCGAGCCGCCGUGGAUCUCGUGCGGAUGGGUGAUUGGGCUGGCCGCCUGCGUGGCCCUAGCGAGCUCGCCAGCCGUUGCCGAAGACCCAAAUCCCCGAGCUCGACGAGCUAGCUAGCCAUCCUGGAUGCCUUGCGGAGAAACCUUGCCAUGGGCUAUGAGCCCCGUAGCCACCUCGCCAGCUGCCGUUGGAGCCGAGCAGGUAGGCGGACGAGGACGAGGAUAGCGCGUACAACGAAGCUAUUCCAGGGGACAACGUGGAGUUCCAGCAAAGAGGUUCAGUUCAGUUCAGAACUUUUGAACGCCAAGUGGUUCAGUUCAGAACUUGGCUUGGUGGAUGUAGUGCUGGAUGCGUAAAAAAAUCGAAGGUAGCAGCUCAAAAAGAUGAAACUUGGAAGUCCAUUGCCAUCUUGAGAGAGCAGUUCGUUGUCAAACCUAUGAUGUGGUUUGACUAAUUAGGCCAGGAUCUGAGAAUCACAUGAGCUGGUGUAGAUUGUAAACUCUGAACCUAAGCGAAUUUGUUUAUUGCAGUUUGCAAGUGCUUUGCUGGUGAUGUUUUUUUUACGGUGGAAAAGGGAGUAUUACUUCUCAGUGAUAGAUGUACAAUCAGCUGCUAAGAAUUCGGUUACAAUGAUAGGAAGACCCUCUAGCCACAUAUGGGCACAGUCCCUUGAGAAACUUGCGAAUGCAUCAGCACAUCUAUUUUGUUUUCCUUUGAGCAGAACAAUAGAAAACACCUUACUACCAGUAAGUAGGUAGCUCGUGAACUUCAGCUACCAGGUGCCCCAUCGUAGAGUGAUCCUUCUCCUUACUUUCUAGGCCAGUUUCAGCCUUUUCUGUUUGGCGCACUCGACCACUCUGGGAAGUCAUCGUGCACUCAAGCCUAGGAACUUCCGGUAGACAGCAACUCGAUACGGCUAGCUUUGCUAGCUAGCUACGUAGUCAAACUGUACAAUGUACAACGUACAACUGUUGUUAUCUUUCUUAUCUCCUCCCAAUUGCACAAUCAAUUUUUGUAAGGAA